GAUGAAGAACGUAGCGAAAUGCGAUAAGUAAUGUGAAUUGCAGAAUUCAGUGAAUCAUCGAAUCUUUGAACGCACAUUGCGCCCCCUGGUAUUCCGGGGGGCAUGCCUGUCCGAGCGUCAUUACAACCCUCAAGCUCAGCUUGGUAUUGGGCCCCGCCGCUCCGGCGGGCCCUAAAGUCAGUGGCGGUGCCGUCCGGCUCCGAGCGUAGUAAUUCUUCUCGCUCUGGAGGCCCGGUCGUGUGCUCGCCAGCAACCCCCAAUUUUUUUCAGGUUGACCUCGGAUCAGGUAGGGAUACCCGCUGAACUUAAGCAUAUCAAUAAGCGGAGGA
rnacentral:misc_RNA from 1 species